ACAUAGGCGACGGAGAUCAAAGUGUCGCAUCUGUGUUUUCUCAGCUUUAUACCUGAUAGGGCUUCUGUUUGGAUCCACGAUAAUAAACCUGUUUUCGCAAGUUGGCGGAGUGCUUGAAGCCUGCUUCAACAGCACCGCGAGUCGCUCGGGUAUUGUACUAUCUUCGGUAUCGGCCCUUGCUUU